rnacentral:rRNA from 1 species
AUGGGGAAGCGUCGGCGAUCAGAGGACGAAGCAGGCGCAUCCGAGCGGCCUCGUCGGGGACGCCUCCAUCUAGUCGUGCAUGAUUACGCGCGGGGAUGCACGGUGUACAAGCUGGACGUCGACGCCUUCCAACCAGACACAGGCACGGACGACCACUUGGAGUCCACGGCGCGGCGUCUGCCGCAUGAUUGCGUGGCGAUCCGCAUGGCGUCGCCCGACCGCCACCAGAACGACCAGUUCGUGUGCGUCGGCAGCAAGAUCUUCGCUUUCUACAAGGACGCGGACGCCGGCCACAAUACCAUGGUGUACGAUAGCGCGACGUCGCAGGUGGCCGUAUGCCCUCCGCUGCUCGCUCCAAAGGAGCUCGCCGAGUUCCUAACUGUCGGCGCCGACAUCUACGCCCUCGAGACCGAGUACGAUGGCUUCAACUACAAAUUUGUUCCCUCGAUGGAGAAACUUGGACCGGCGCCCCGCCGUGGCUGGGGUGAAUGGCGGUGGGAGUCCCUCCGCCCGCCGCCGAUCAAGCUGCCCAUCCUUGUCUCGUCCCAAGCGGUGCAUCCUGACGGAUCCACCAUCUUCCUCUCCGUCGAGGACAGGGGCACCUUCUCCUUCGACACUGGCCGCCUCGCCCGGACGGGUCACGGGAGCUGGCUCCUGCCUUUCGACGGGGAGGCCUACUUCGUGGCGAGCUGGAUGCGUGGGUCGGGCUUUGCUCACACCAAAAAGGGUACAUCGCCGUGUGCAAUGUCAUCUCACCCGAUGACGGCCGGUGUGAAUGCCUGA